rnacentral:rRNA from 1 species
GACGAACGCUGGCGGCGUGCCUAACACAUGCAAGUCGAGCGGGCAUCGGGACGUAGCAAUACGUUGCCGGCGACCGGCGGAUGGGUGAGUAACGCGUAUGCAACCUACCCGUAGCAGGGGGAUAGCCCGUUGAAAGACGGAUUAAUACCCCGUAACGCAGGGGCUCCGCAUGGAGAUUAUUGUUAAAGGGUCAUUUCUUUUUCAGGGAUGGUCCGGCUGCGGAUGGGCAUGCGUUCCAUUAGGUAGUUGGUGUAGGUAACUGCUCACCAAGCCGACGAUGGAUAGGGGAACUGAGAGGUUGGUCCCCCACACUGGUACUGAGACACGGACCAGACUCCUACGGGAGGCAGCAGUGAGGAAUUUUGGUCAAUGGACGCAAGUCUGAACCAGCCAUGUCGCGUGAAGGAGGACGGCCCUAAGGGUUGUAAACUUCUUUUGCAGUGGAAUAAAGUUUGCCACGUGUUGGCGAUUUGCAAGUACGCUGCGAAUAAGGAUCGGCUAACUCCGUGCCAGCAGCCGCGGUAAUACGGAGGAUCCAGGCGUUAUCCGGAUUUAUUGGGUUUAAAGGGUGCGCAGGCGGGGAAUUAGGUCGGCGGUGAAAUUUCGGGGCUCAACCUCGACAGUGCCGUUGAAACCGUUUCUCUUGAGUGCGGAUGAGGUAGGCGGAAUUUGUGGUGUAGCGGUGAAAUGCGUAGAUAUCACAAGGAACACCGAUUGCGGAGGCAGCUUACUAAACCGUUACUGACGCUCAUGCACGAAGGCGUGGGGAUCAAACAGG